UCCGCCUCUCAUCCAUACAUUAGAAAAAAACGAACCCUGGGUUUCUUUCUUUUCCAACACCUCCAUACAUCAAAAAAAUACAGAAAAUGGAAUCAUGGGUUUUUGUAAAUCGCCUGUUAUCCAUACAUCAAAAGACAGGAAAUUGAAUCAUGGGUUUCUGUAAAUCGCCUCUUAUCCAUACAUCAAAAGAAUCCCGUUUUUCGUCUGUUGCAAGUGCCAGAUCUCUAUAAAAUGGAUAUACGAAGGUGGAUUUGUGCGAUAACAUCUAUCUGGCCUCAUUCGAAUCUAGAGAUUUUUAAAAAAGGUAAUUUUCCCAUGAAUGCAUGCAAGUUGGGGUAUGUUUUAGAUACCAUCAGCACAAAGUCAUCAUCAGUAUUUAGUGAUGCGGAGUGCAAGCUAUGAAUUAUUUCCUGGUUGACUCUUGAGCGGAUAUGAGAACCAGAUACCGAGUUGCUACUCUCAAACUUCCUGACAGCAGCUGAUAAUGCAAAACAGAUAUUAGGUUUGAAUUAUCACUGGUACUACUUUAUUUUAUGCCGGAAAAGAUUUAUGCUGACAGAGUUGGUUGACAAGGUCAAUAAAAAAAAAGAAUUCUGGAUUGGCAAAUUAUAUGUUUAUCUUAUGCUGGCAGACUGUAGUUGGGCAUUUAAAUCCCCAAACUGUUACUAAGGAGAUUGAAAACUUCUUAAAAAAAUUAAUGUGGUGUGGGGAAGUGUCCAAAAGAAAGACUAAGGUUGCAUGGAAGGAUUUCUGUAAACCAAAGGAGUAUGGGUUAAAGUCUCUGUCUGCUUGGAAUGAUAUGUUAGUAACUAAGCACUUACGGAACAUCUGUACACCGGAAAAAUCUUUUUGGGUAAGGUUUAUUUACAGUAUGAGGCUAAAGACUAAAUCAAUGACUGAAUGCGGGUGGUUAAUUCAAAUGGCAAGGCUGCUGGAGCUGGAAAGGCAUUCUAAAAGGGAGAAACAUAGCAAGGUGGUAAUAUGGUAUGUCGAAAUCAGUUUGGAAUGAUAUAUGGUGUAUUAGCCGUAAAAAGAAGACUCAACGCUCAGGAUAAUAAUAUAUUUGUAUUCCGUGAAAGAUGAAAUAGAAAUAGGUUUUGGAAGAAAACACACAAACGAUUUAGAUUAUACCUGCAUCUGUCAAAAUAGGUCCAGUUUUGGGUAAUGCUGCAAGUCCUUGUGUACAACCAGUAUCACAUCAGCCCCCAACAAACAUUAACCCUACUGCAAACACACACACUCUCACACCCGCCUUUUUGUUACAAAGCACCGGCGGCCUCCCCCCUUCUCUCACCGGAAAAACACAUACACAUCCAGAUUCGCGACCUCGACCAUCACUGCCAACGAUCCCACCACAACCACCUAAGCAAACGGCAGUCCCUCUUUUGUGUGGGUUGUUAUUUGUGGUGAUGAUCUUGAUUCUUGAAGAAAAAAGAUGAUGGUAUAAAGGUUCGUCUUUGUAGGGAUGCUGUCAACCGAAGGAUAAGCUUUGCAACCACUGGGACAUCGGCUGAGGUGUAGGCACUACUCAUGGUCUAAUAUAGGGGUGACUGCAUCAAAUGAUUUUGACUAUGUUGGUUGAUGAUCAUGUAAAGAAUGAAGAUGGAUAAUAGUAAAGCGUAAAGGCUGGGUUUGAGCUUCAAUCAAGCUGCUGCAACUUUGGGCUUUGUGUUUCAUGCUUGAGGAGAGUUCACUGUAAGGCUAAGAAGAUAUCUGAGGAAAAGUAUGUCAAGGCCAUCAACGAGGAGAUCUUCAAAGUUGUCCAUCCCUAGGAAGAACUUGACAUUGAUGUGCUCGUCCACAGAGAGACAGAGACAGCCUGGUCAAGUACUUUGGGAACAAUUAUCUUCUUUUCCCUUCACCGCCAUGGCGUCUAUGGACGGGUGCAGUCAUAUGGAUCUCGUUUUGUCAAGCCACCAAUUAUCUAUGGUGAUGUCAGCCAACCUAAAACUGUGACCGGCUUCUCGUCCUCCAUGGCUCAGGAAAUGACCAAGCGCCCAAUGAGAAUUAUGAAGAAAGAUAUUAGUAGUCAGUUGGUUUAUACUCUAUACAAGUGAAUGUUUUGAAACAAUUCUAUGAUCACUCUUCUGCAUCUCAAUAAGGAGCCUCUAAUAUUAUACGCAUGGUAUUCAUUAUAGUGGGCCGUGCAAUGGCUAUAUAUUCAUUAUAGUGGGCCGUGCAAUGGCUACGUAUAUAUAUAUAUAACAUCAAUUCAACUAAAGAUUCUCCCUUAAUUUCUGUUGUAAUUGUGGUGUAUUUCGGGGCGAAUGAUGAAAAUAAAUAAUCACACUAUUUGUUUAA